UACAGAGGUCCCAAGCGUUGUUCGGAUUCACUGGGCGUAAAGGGUGCGUAGGUGGCAGGGUAAGUUUGAUGUGAAAUCUCCGGGCUUAACCCGGAAACUGCAUUGAAUACUAUCCCGCUCGAGGAUUGGAAGGGAGACUGGAAUACUUGGUGUAGCAGUGAAAUGCGUAGAUAUCAAGUGGAACACCAGUGGCGAAGGCGAGUCUCUGGACAAUUCCUGACACUGAGGCACGAAAGCUAGGGGAGCAAACAGG
rnacentral:rRNA from 1 species